UACGUAGGGGGCUAGCGUUGUCCGGAUUAUUGGGCGUAAAGAGCGUGUAGGCGGCCAGGUAGGUCUGCUGUGAAAACUCGAGGCUCAACCUCGAGACGUCGGCGGAAACCAUCUGGCUAGAGUCCGGAAGAGGAGAGUGGAAUUCCUGGUGUAGCGGUGAAAUGCGCAGAUAUCAGGAGGAACACCGGUGGCGAAGGCGGGUCUCUGGACGGUACUGACGCUGAGAGCGCGAAAGCGUGGGAGCGAACAGG
rnacentral:rRNA from 1 species